GAUGAACGCUGGCGGCGUGCCUAAUACAUGCAAGUCGAGCGAACGGACGAGAAGCUUGCUUCUCUGAUGUUAGCGGCGGACGGGUGAGUAACACGUGGAUAACCUACCUAUAAGACUGGGAUAACUUCGGGAAACCGGAGCUAAUACCGGAUAAUAUUUUGAACCGCAUGGUUCAAAAGUGAAAGACGGUCUUGCUGUCACUUAUAGAUGGAUCCGCGCUGCAUUAGCUAGUUGGUAAGGUAACGGCUUACCAAGGCAACGAUGCAUAGCCGGCCUGAGGGGGUGAUCGGCCACACUGGAACUGAGACACGGUCCAGACUCCUACGGGAGGCAGCAGUAGGGAAUCUUCCGCAAUGGGCGAAAGCCUGACGGAGCAACGCCGCGUGAGUGAUGAAGGUCUUCGGAUCGUAAAACUCUGUUAUUAGGGAAGAACAUAUGUGUAAGUAACUGUGCACAUCUUGACGGUACCUAAUCAGAAAGCCACGGCUAACUACGU
rnacentral:rRNA from 1 species